UUGAAAGGGAAACGAUUGAAGUCAGUCGUGCUGGCGCGAAAUCAACCUUCUCGUCUUGAGAUCACAUGGCGUGGCGAGCCUCAAAACCGUCACGAAGCGUGAACUCUUGGUGAAAUGGAGCACUUUCGUGUCCGCUGGUUAACAUCAAUUUCGAACGUCAUAAAAAGGCUGGAGGGAUGCGGCUCCUUCGGGAGUGUUAUAACCUUUAGCGGAAUGUGGUGUUCGGGAUUGAGGAUUGCAACGAAUACCUUUAGGGCUGUUCCACCUGGCUUCUCUUUGGUAUCCUGGUGACGACAGCUUGCUGACGUCGUUAGGAUUCGCCUUUGAACAGGUUAGAGUGUGAGCAAAUUCGUUAAGGAUGUUGACGUA
rnacentral:rRNA from 1 species